rnacentral:rRNA from 1 species
ACUCCUGCGGGAGGCAGCAGUGGGGAAUAUUGCACAAUGGGCGCAAGCCUGAUGCAGCCAUGCCGCGUGUAUGAAGAAGGCCUUCGGGUUGUAAAGUACUUUCAGCGGGGAGGAAGGCGAUAAGGUUAAUAACCUUGUCGAUUGACGUUACCCGCAGAAGAAGCACCGGCUAACUCCGUGCCAGCAGCCACGGUAAUACGGAGGGUGCAAGCGUUAAUCGGAAUUACUGGGCGUAAAGCGCACGCAGGCGGUCUGUCAAGUCGGAUGUGAAAUCCCCGGGCUCAACCUGGGAACUGCAUUCGAAACUGGCAGGCUAGAGUCUUGUAGAGGGGGGUAGAAUUCCAGGUGUAGCGAUGAAAUGCGUAGAGAUCUGGAGGAAUACCGGUGGCGAAGGCGGCCCCCUGGACAAAGACUGACGCUCAGGUGCGAAAGCGUGGGGAGCAAACAGGAUUAGAAACCCUUGUAGUCCC